GGGGCGGGUGGAGGAGGGAGGGAAGGAGGGAGAGCAAGGGAGGGAAGAAGGGAGGCUGAGCAGCCGGGAGACUCCCAGCCACCAGCAAGCUUUAUGUAGGUCCAGUGCUGGACUCAGCUGAGUUGGGUAAAUCAGACUUGCUGCCUGCCCUUAUGAAAACCAUGAUCUGCUACCAACCUGUGGGCCAGGAAGUCAUGCACCUGCCUCUGGAUCCCUCUGGUACCUGUGAAAUCUAGAUCCCCAGGCCUGCUCUCUGGAAAUAUAAAUCUGCCCUGCAUUUCUGGGAUGAAGCCUACAUGAUCAUGGUGGAUGGUCUUUGUGAUAUGUUCUUGGAUUCAGUUUGUGACAUAAAGAAAUGAAGAUGGACUAGGAGGAAUUGCUGAGGAGAGUGAGAAAGAGCAGGGGAGAUCCUGGGUUCACACCAAGGGACAGAGUCUCCAGAGAAUAAAGGUAAAUGGCUGCCAUAAAGGAUCACACUUCACCAUGUCGCUUGGAUUGAGGCUGCUGUGGAUAAAAAUUCCUGGAAAAAAAGCUGUGUGAAAAAAAGCAGACCGACAGACUUAAGCUUCAAGGACUGGGGAGAGUUCAGAAUAUUACAGGGUCAUUUCCUAAUGAAAACUCUUCUAGUGCUAUCUUUAGCCCCUAAAGAGACAUUCUUGUCCACCUCUCUUUUGUAUUUAUCAUCCAUACAAACAGAUAAAAACUCUUUGGAAUGUAUUAACAACACCCCCUUCUCAGCCUGCCAAGGUGCUAAGAAGAAUGCUGUCACAUAGAAUCUGAGGUUGGGUCUGGUGUUCCUCUACUUUUAAGACUCCUCUCUGAGGUUUCCACCAAUAUAUAUUAAACAUCCAUUCAUGCUCAAAAAAAAAAAAAAAAAAAAAAAAAAAAAAAA
rnacentral:lncRNA from 1 species